rnacentral:rRNA from 1 species
AUAAGCGGAGGAAAAGAAACCAACAGGGAUUACCUCAGUAACGGCGAGUGAAGCGGUAACAGCUCAAAUUUGAAAGCUAGCUCUUUGAGGGUUCGCAUUGUAAUUUGUAGAAGAUGCUUCGGGUGUGGCCCCGGUCUAAGUUCCUUGGAACAGGACGUCAUAGAGGGUGAGAAUCCCGUAUGUGACUGGGUGCUUUCGCUCAUGUGAAGCUCUUUCGACGAGUCGAGUUGUUUGGGAAUGCAGCUCUAAAUGGGUGGUACAUUUCAUCUAAAGCUAAAUAUUGGCCAGAGACCGAUAGCGCACAAGUAGAGUGAUCGAAAGAUGAAAAGCACUUUGGAAAGAGAGUUAAACAGUACGUGAAAUUGUUGAAAGGGAAGCGCUUGCAACCAGACUUGCGCGCUGAUGAUCAUCCGGGCUUCUGCCCGGUGCACUCGUCUGCGCUCAGGCCAGCAUCGGUUUCGGUGGUGGGAUAAAGGCCUUGGGAAUGUAGCUCCUCUCGGGGAGUGUUAUAGCCCUCGGUGCAAUGCCGCCUACCGGGACCGAGGACCGCGCUUCGGCUAGGAUGCUGGCGUAAUGGUUGUAAGCGACCCGUCUUGAAACACGGACCAAGGAGUCUAACAUCUAUGCGAGUGUUUGGGUGUCAAACCCAUACGCGUAAUGAAAGUGAACGGAGGUGAGAACCCUUAAGGGCGCAUCAUCGACCGGUCCUGAUGUCUUCGGAUGGAUCUGAGUAAGAGCAUAGCUGUUGGGACCCGAAAGAUGGUGAACUAUGCGUGAAUAGGGUGAAGCCAGAGGAAACUCUGGUGGAGGCUCGCAGCGGUUCUGACGUGCAAAUCGAUCGUCAAAUUUGCGUAUAGGGGCGAAAGACUAAUCGAACCAUCUAGUAG